GUGGGGAAUAUUGGACAAUGGGGGGAACCCUGAUCCAGCCAUGCCGCGUGUGUGAAGAAGGCCUUUUGGUUGUAAAGCACUUUAAGCGAGGAGGAGGCUACCGAGAUUAAUACUCUUGGAUAGUGGACGUUACUCGCAGAAUAAGCACCGGCUAACUCUGUGCCAGCAGCCGCGGUAAUACAGAGGGUGCAAGCGUUAAUCGGAUUUACUGGGCGUAAAGCGCGCGUAGGUGGCCAAUUAAGUCAAAUGUGAAGUCGCCGAGCUUAACUUGGGAAUUGCAUUCGAUACUGGUUGGCUAGAGUAUGGGAGAGGAUGGUAGAAUUCCAGGUGUAGCGGUGAAAUGCGUAGAGAUCUGGAGGAAUACCGAUGGCGAAGGCAGCCAUCUGGCCUAAUACUGACACUGAGGUGCGAAAGCAUGGGGAGCAAACAGGAUUAGAAACCCUAGUAGUCC
rnacentral:rRNA from 1 species